UGCCACAGCCAUGUCACCCUGCAGCCUAAGACUUGUUAUACACUGAAGCUAAGCAGGGCUAAGCCUGGUCAGUACCUGGAUGGGAGACCACUAGGGAACACUAGGUUGCUGUUGGAA
ensembl:rRNA 5S_rRNA 5S ribosomal RNA